GGCUACUUGUCAUGUGUGGGAGUGAGAGCAUAGGUGGGCACAGUGAGGGGGAGCGUGAACAAGCGUAGAUGACAUGCCGGCGUUAGAGAGAUACCACCAACUGCUGAUGCUGCAUGGCCCUGGGCACUGUCAGGUAAGCCAGUAAGCUGGAGGAUGUUCUAAAUCCAGAGAAAAGGCAGUUGGAAAAGUUUGCACCUGUAUGAAAAAGGUUAACAUCAAGCUUUCAGUCUGCGAUUGUCACCUACUGUCUUCAGCAACGCAAUGGGGGUGGUAACACAAUUGCUCGGUUGCUUCCCAUAGUUCGAAAUGCAGCAUUCUUGAGACCAUAUUUUCUGAAGGGCAUGUGUAAACUUCUUGUGAGAUGUCGGAAUGUUAUGUAAAAUUUUGAUAUAAACCAUGUUUGCU